CUUCCAUUUCGGGAAGCCCCCCCCCCAUUCUCUCUCUUCCUCCCGCGUCCGGAAGCCGACAGAACUGGACGAUUUUCGUCCGGCCAUUUCUUCCUCCUCUGGCCACCAAAUCACUCCAAACUUCUUCCAUCGUGUUCGCCUCUUCCUUGCGCAGCCAUCUGUGGCAACCUUGCACGGCGGUGAGGCCUGUAGCGGCGGUGGUGAGCUUGAACCGAUUUGAGUUCGAUUUUAGUCAACACCGGUUUUCUCCUAGCUCCGGCCACCAAAACUUCCGAUCCUUAGCUCUAUGAACUCAGCUCAACCUGCUGAUCAUCAUACCAGAAGGAUCGCACCUGGAGUGACCGGUUUCACGUUCGUCGGAGCUCCACCGGUUUUCGAUCGAACACCAAAACCUUCGAUCAGAAGGAAUCGAGGCCUGAGAUUGAAGUUUUUACGUCGAAAUCGAGGCUCGCCGGUUUCUGCAUUUCUUCGCCGGUUUCUGGAAAAUUUCCGGCCACAUUCAUACGGUUCUAGGUACUUGACGGUUUGAGUUGACGAGCGUUCGGAAUAUUGAUAUAUUCGACUUUUUAGAAGACGCAGCUGGAUUAGAGCGGGUAAUCUCACAGGUCAGGAGAAUCAGGCAGUGAUCGUGCAGUUUAGAGUACUAGUAUUAGAUUUACAGCAUUUGUUUUGUGAGGAGAAUUAUACUCAUUUGAGUUUUACAAUUUGAUUUGGUGAGAGUGUGCUGUAAUAAGUAGCUCGAGGAUUUGGUUUAUGUAAUAUUAAGAGGUGUAAACUAGUGGUUGUUUCUGAGAGAAAAAUUCAGAACGCUAUUUGUAUUGUUAUUAGUCAUGUUCCGGAUUUGAAUCCUUAUUUCAAAAUUCGGGGUGUGACAGUGGCAUCUUUAGAGAUUUCAAAGGUGGUAUAAUGGGUGCUUUUUGCUCUAAUCUUAAUAUUCCAAGCUUUGUGGCAGCGGAGGUUAUGGCAGUCAUCAAGGCUAUUGAGUUAGCUUGGGUCCGGGACUGGAAAAAUAUAUAUGGUUAGAAGUGGACUCGGCUCUUGUCCUUUAAUUCCUUCAUUCUCCUCACUUGGUACCUUGGCAGCUACGAAUUGAGUGGCAUAAUUGUUUGCAUCGUAUCUCUCAGAUGCAUUUCCGUUCUUCACACAUCUAUCGUGAGGGCAACCAAGCUGCAGAUGCUCUUGCUAACUAGGUCUCUCUUCUACUGGUUUAACAUGGUGGGACAUACCCCCAGAUCUUAUUUGUUCCCACUGUAGGAAAGACUCCUUGGGGUUGCCUAAUUUUCGUGUUCGUUAGUUACGCUUUCUUCUUGUAUUUAUCAUCUGUUUUCUCUUCCGAUUGUUUUCUUUGGAGGAGUUUUGGGUUUUAUGUCCCCUCCCCUCCUUUUUGUACUUUUCUUUUCUUUUCUUCGAAAUAAAAUUCAAUAGGGGGUGAGUCAUC